rnacentral:rRNA from 1 species
GACGAACGCUGGCGGCGCGCCUAACACAUGCAAGUCGAACGAGAGAUGAGGAGCUUGCUCUUCAAAUCGAGUGGCGAACGGGUGAGUAACGCGUGAGGAACCUGCCUCAAAGAGGGGGACAACAGUUGGAAACGACUGCUAAUACCGCAUAAGCCCACGGCUCGGCAUCGAGCAGAGGGAAAAGGAGCAAUCCGCUUUGAGAUGGCCUCGCGUCCGAUUAGCUAGUUGGUGAGGUAGCGGCCCACCAAGGCAACGAUCGGUAGCCGGACUGAGAGGUUGAACGGCCACAUUGGGACUGAGACACGGCCCAGACUCCUACGGGAGGCAGCAGUGGGGAAUAUUGCACAAUGGGGGAAACCCUGAUGCAGCGACGCCGCGUGGAGGAAGAAGGUCUUCGGGAUUGUAAAACUCCUGUUGUUGAGGAAGAUAAUGACGGUACUCAACAAGGAAGUGACGGCUAACUACGUG